rnacentral:rRNA from 1 species
GUGGGGAAUAUUGGACAAUGGGCGAAAGCCUGAUCCAGCCAUGCCGCGUGUGUGAAGAAGGUCUUCGGAUUGUAAAGCACUUUAAGUUGGGAGGAAGGGCAGUAAGUUAAUACCUUGCUGUUUUGACGUUACCAACAGAAUAAGCACCGGCUAACUUCGUGCCAGCAGCCGCGGUAAUACGAAGGGUGCAAGCGUUAAUCGGAAUUACUGGGCGUAAAGCGCGCGUAGGUGGUUCAGCAAGUUGAAGGUGAAAUCCCCGGGCUCAACCUGCGAACUGCCUCCAAAACUACUGAGCUAGAGUACGGUAGAGGGUAGUGGAAUUUCCUGUGUAGCGGUGAAAUGCGUAGAUAUAGGAAGGAACACCAGUGGCGAAGGCGACUACCUGGACUGAUACUGACACUGAGGUGCGAAAGCGUGGGGAGCAAACAGGAUUAGAAACCCCAGUAGUCC